UACGAAGGGUGCAAGCGUUAAUCGGAAUUACUGGGCGUAAAGCGUGCGCAGGCGGCUUGCCAAGUCAGAUGUGAAAGCCCCGGGCUCAACCCGGGAACUGCGUUUGAAACUGGCAGGCUAGAGUUUGGCAGAGGGGGGUGGAAUUCCACGUGUAGCAGUGAAAUGCGUAGAGAUGUGGAGGAACACCGAUGGCGAAGGCAGCCCCCUGGGCCAAAACUGACGCUCAGGCACGAAAGCGUGGGGAGCAAACAGG
rnacentral:rRNA from 1 species